UUUCUCAUAACAUAGCUGUUCCGAGAGAGAUGAUAUCGCUCAGUGGAUCGUCAAACACACAAACCUUCAGACCAUGCAGAGGUUGCAGUCCUCAGAGGGAAUAAGCGUGAGAGCGAAUCCUUUCAGCUGACUGGCUGAAGACGCUGUGACAGACCCGGGGACAUGCAGGAAGGAUUGUAUCGUCCAGCCGGUUUGGCAGCUACGACCGAUGCCAAGAAGGAGCUGGAGGCUGUUUGUAGUUUGUCCUGCGGGGCGUGCUGCCACUGCUACCCUCACUGGGAAAAGCGCUUGGAAAACGGAUGGAUAGAUUGGAUAGAAAUGUACAACAGUGGAGCCAGAAACACCAACAGGAAAGGUGUUGGUACGUCCCCCCCACAAACUGAAACAUGCAGCUACCAAGACCACGCAGACAGGUCUAUGACUGACCGUGUGACCCGGUGAUGAUCCAGGAAUCGUUACCACCCCAGGCCAGCCUGACUGACACUGAUCAUGACACCGAUCCUGCCCAGCUUGGAUGCAGAGGCAUUUUGGAACAUG